GGUGAGAUGGCCGAGCGGUCUAAGGCGCCAGACUAAGGAUCAGCACACUCGGUGUGCAAUUUAUCUGGUCCUCCGGGGCGUGGGUUCGAAUCCCACUCUCAUCA